AGCAUACAUUGAAUUAUGUGAUGAUCUGUCCAAAAAAAUGUUAGAAAGAAAAUAGAAAUGAAAAAAGGAAAGAGAAAAAAAUAAGGAAACUAUGGAAUUUUAUUUGGUGGCCCAUGUAAAAGAUCAUUAAUUCAGCCCAAACCCAAGUUACACCAGAUCCAGACGUUUCUUUACCAUCACCUUUUCACUGCUCCAGCGAAGAAGGCACACAGCCAGCCGCCGCCGCCGAUUAUUCAUCUUCCUCACAGCGCCGGCGCUACAUCUUCCGCUACCUCGGCACAGGCGACGGCGGGGGCGCUCAGGCUCGGGCUCGCGCUCGGAGCGACGGCGUCAGCGGCUUCCCCCUCCGCCUCUUGCCAGUCGCCUCGCGCCCUUGCCUCCGGUCCUCCGCACACCAGCCGGUGACCCUGUGUGCGUGCCCCCCUCUCUCUCUCCUCCCGCCUCCGGUGGAUCGUCAAACGGAGCCAGGCCUCGGCGUCUGCGCCGCGCGCGGCCUGAGGGCAGCCGGGGGGGGGGGGGGGGGGGGUUCAGCAGCCGCUGCUCCAGCAAGGCGGUCGCGGGGCUUUGGGAGCGCUUAUGCCCCAAAGCGAAGAUCAUGUCGAGAGCCUUAGCGCGUCACCCGGUACCUCCUUUCCUGAAACUUCGUUCCACGGUUUGCGACGACGGCUACUGGAUGGGCAGAUUGGACCACAAGGACUGGCUCGCUCCAAACGAGGUGCUCAAAGUAUUUGUGAACAUCAGGGACACUAGCCUGAUAAACAGCGUAUUCAAGAAGGCAUGCAGCCGGAGAGACUACAAGCCCAGCGAGGCGCUCUACAGCUUGAUGAUCGACAGGCUGGCCUGCGCCAGGAGGUUCAGUGAUGUGGAGGAGUUGCUGUCCAAGGCAAGAACCGAAAAGUUGAGGUUUUCAGACGAGUUCUUCUACAGGCUGAUCAAGAUGUACGGCAACGUGGCAGAACAUCCUCAGAAAGCCAUGGACACCCUCUUUGCAAUGCCUGGGUAUAAUUGUUGGCCUUCUACAAAGACAUUCAAUUACGUCCUUCACAUGCUUGUGUGCAAGCGGCAGUACGAGGUUGUUCAUGAGGUCUACUCGAGCGCGCCCAGGCUUGGGGUGACGUUGGACACAUGUUCUUUCAAUAUCCUUGUCAAGGGUUUGUGCCAGUACGGUAAAUUUGAUGAGGCUAUCUCCUUGCUGCAUGAGAUGCCGAAGCAAGGGUGUCAGCCUAACGCGACAACCUACUCGACCUUCAUGCAUUUCCUCUGUCAGCGCAGUCAGGUUGAUAAAGCAUUUGAGCUGUUUGAGAGAAUGCGGAAGCAGGAUAUUGCUGCAGAUACAGUUGUGUACAAUAUUUUGAUCUCUGGUCUCUGCAGGGACGAAAGAGUGACCGAGGCAUUCGACCUGUUCAAGUCAAUGACUUCUGAAGGGUGCUGUCCUAAUUCAGGGACAUAUCAGGUACUUCUUGAUGGUCUAAUCAGUUUAGGAAAACUUUUUGAAGCCAAAAGCCUUGUUUGCACUAUGAGUACAGAGGGUGUGAGGCCGAGCUUCCAAUCAUACAAGCUACUGAUUGAUGGCCUCUGUAGUGAUGACUGCGUGGGUGAUGCACAUCUUGUCUUGAAGCAAAUGGUGGGCCAAGGUUUUGUUCCCCGGAUGGGCACUUGGACAAAACUUCUCACAUCCAUGUUCAAGUUUUAGCUUCCGCAUCGGUGAUUUCCUUGGCCUAACAAGACACAUGAAUGAAAAAUUCAAAUUUUGGCAGACUCUUGACUGAAGGUCAUCAAGUUUGGUUAGAGGAGCAAGUGGACCAAUGGCGGCUUGAGUUUGUGCUUGUAGUCCUGCAUACCAUUGCUACCUAUACAUGAUUAUCGUUUGUUGGAAUAGCUUCCACGGACAUCAACCUGAAUUAUAUAAGUCUGACAAGAAAAACCGUUCGAUUCUGUAGGUGAUUUAUGUUCUGGGCAGUUGAAUGACUAAUCUUGGGCAUUUGAAAGCCUACAGAACUCUUCGAACCCUGUUAUGCAAGGUCCAAGUGCGCUGUAAACCCUCUGAAACAAAGUUGGUCACCAUCAUCUAUCUACUCGCAAGCCAAUCUCAACAACAUCAUCUGGUGACAUCUGUAGGGCGGCUUUCCUCCAAGACCACAUAAUAAGUUGGAAAUUUUCCUCUUAACUGCCAAACAGCUGAUUCAAAGCCCUCUCCUUCCCGUACCAGACAGCGUCAUAAGAAAUGUGCAUCUUACAGAGUGGACUGCAUGCAACUC